rnacentral:rRNA from 1 species
UGGGGAAUCUUGCGCAAUGGGCGAAAGCCUGACGCAGCGACGCCGCGUGAGGGAUGAAGGCCUUCGGGUUGUAAACCUCUUUCAGCAGGGACGAAGCGAGAGUGACGGUACCUGCAGAAGAAGCACCGGCUAACUACGUGCCAGCAGCCGCGGUAAUACGUAGGGCGCGAGCGUUGUCCGGAAUUAUUGGGCGUAAAGAGCUCGUAGGCGGCUUGUCGCGUCUGUCGUGAAAGCCCACGGCUUAACCGUGGGUUUGCGGUGGAUACGGGCAGGCUAGAGGCAGGUAGGGGAGCAUGGAAUUCCCGGUGUAGCGGUGAAAUGCGCAGAUAUCGGGAGGAACACCGGUGGCGAAGGCGGUGCUCUGGGCCCUGUUCUGACGCUGAGGAGCGAAAGCGUGGGGAGCGAACAGGAUUAGAUACCC